rnacentral:misc_RNA from 1 species
AAGUCGUAACAAGGUUUCCGUAGGUGAACCUGCGGAAGGAUCAUUACCGAAGUACAGGCCCUCUCGAGGGCUAAACUUCCACCCUUUGUUAACUAUACUUUGUUGCUUUGGCGAGACGCCUCACGGCCACCGGCUUCGGCUGGUGAGUGCUCGCCAGAGAAAACCCAAACCCAAACUUUUUUAGUGUUGUCUGAGAACUAAGUUUAAUUAUUAAAA